ensembl:snRNA U6 U6 spliceosomal RNA
GUUCUCACUUUGGCAGCAUAUAUACUAAAAUUGGAACGAUACAGAAAAGAUUAGCAUGGCCCCUGCACAAGGAUGACAUGCAAAUUCGUGAAGCAUUCCAUAUUAAA